UGGAGGUUGAGAAGGUGAAACAGUAAUAAUUGCUGUUUUUACCGGUUGUAACUUCCUAAAAUAACAGUGCUAAUGCAGAGAUUACUUCAUUUUUUCCAUUGAAGUAGUUGUACUGCUGGCGUUCAAGUC
ensembl:snoRNA